GGAGAGGUGUCCGAGAGGCUUAAGGAGCACGCUUGGAAAGCGUGUGUGCGGUGAAUGCCGUACCGUGGGUUCGAAUCCCACCCUCUCCGCCA
rnacentral:tRNA from 1 species